rnacentral:pre_miRNA from 1 species
CUUGGGAGGGGGGUCCCUCAGCCCGAAUUUCGAGAGGGUGCAGGCCAGGCCAAGGGGCCCCACCAGUGCAGG